rnacentral:rRNA from 1 species
CCCUAUAGUAGAGAAUAGCCCGGCGAAAGUCGGAGUUAAUGCUCUAUGUUCUUCUUUGAUGGCAUCUGAGGAGAAGCAAAGGUUCACCGCUAUAAGGAUGGGGGAUGGCGUCUGAUUAGGUAGUCGGCGGGGUAACGGCCCACCGAGCCAACGAUCAGUAGGGGUUCUGAGAGGAAGGUCCCCCACAUUGGUACUGAGACACGGACCAAACUCCUACGGGAGGCAGCAGUGAGGAAUAUUGGUCAAUGGGGCGAGAGCCUGAACCAGGCCAAGUAGCGUGCAAGGAUGACUGCCCUAUGGGUUGUAAACUGCUUUUAUGCGGGAAUAAAGUCCACUACGCGUAGUGGUUUGUAUGUACCGCAUGAAUAAGGACCGGCUAAUUCCGUGCCAGCCGCGGC